rnacentral:tRNA from 1 species
GCCGCGGUAGCUCAGUGGAAGAGCAAGCGCCUGAAGAGCGCUGUGUCGUCAGUUCGAUUCUGACUCGCGGCACCA